ensembl:lncRNA
AUGUCUGUGUUUAGUUUAGUUCUCGUUUGUUUUUCAUGCCUUUUAUUUUUUUCGUUUAUAUUCGCCAAGCUAUUAUGUAUUUUUGAAAUAACCUUGUUCUUGAUUUGUUCGUUCUUGCCAGAAUCAGCGUCCUCUGGAGCUCGAGAGAUCGAUGUUAUUCUGCCCUUAGACAGUCUCGCGCUGUCAAAUAGUCUUUCAAUUUUCACAAUCAAACAGCUCACAAAUACCUGAAUUUAGCUCUUGUUGUGUUCUAAUGGGUGGAUUGUGUGCAUUCGCGGUAAUAUUUUAUUUUAAAAAGCUCUUAAAACUAUAAAAAUGCUUUUAUUGUGAGCUCGUGAGACUGCACUCGCUGAAGCAGCGGUGAUUUCUCUCUGGUCUUUCUCACUGUUCUGGCCAGACAUCAAUUAUUAAUGAGAUCUGAGCCGGUAAUAAUAACAUAUGUUGGUUCAGCUUGUCAGUGUGAAUUAAAUGUGUAUUUUGUCCGUUCUCGCCGAAAAACCAUCACCGUGUUCUGGAGCGCAGAGCAAUCGAUGUGAUGUUCAGCCCUUAGACAAAGAAAAUCUCACAAGCACUCAUAAACACUUAUUUUCAUCUCUAUAAUAUGUUCUUCUAAUUGUUUUUUUGUUGAUUCGCCGCUGUGUUUUUAAUGUAAAAGGCUGUAGUUUCUGUAUGUACACUUUUUUUCCCUUCAAGUGUUCAGACGUCUCGCGCUGUCAGACAGGCUGCAGCAAAUAUUUCAUUUUAACAUGUUAACAGCUCACAAACAUCUGAAUUUAGCUCUUGGUGUGUUCUAAUUGGCGGAUUGUGUGCAAUCGCCGUAAUAUUUUAUUUUUAAAAGGUCUUAAACAAGAAUAAACUCGUUUGUUGUGAGCUCGUUGAGACUGCACGCGCUGUUCGGAGCGGUGACAUAUCUCUCGUCUAUCUCUCUGUUCUCUGUCGCCAGACAUCAAUUAUUAAUAAGCCCUGACCCGCUAAUAAUAAGAUAUGUUGGUUUAGCUUGUCAGUGUGAAUUAAAUUGAUUUAUUUAGUUG